AUACGGAGGGUGCAAGCGUUACUCGGAAUCACUGGGCGUAAAGCGCGCGCAGGCGGCUAUUUAAGUUGGAUGUGAAAGCCUACGGCUCAACCGUAGAACUGCAUCCAAAACUAUUUAGCUAGAGUGUGGGAGAGGAAGAUGGAAUUAGUUGUGUAGGGGUAAAAUCCGUAGAGAUAACUAGGAAUACCAAAAGCGAAGGCAAUCUUCUGGAACACUACUGACGCUGAGGCGCGGAAGCGUGGGGAGCAAACAGGAUUAGAAACCCUAGUAGUCC
rnacentral:rRNA from 1 species